rnacentral:rRNA from 1 species
UCACACAGGGAGAGUUUGAUCCUGGCUCAGGAUAAACGCUGGCGGCGUGCCUAACACAUGCAAGUCGAACGCCCUUAGCAAUAAGGGAGUGGCGGACGGGUGAGGAACACGUGGGUUAUCUACCUUGGGGUGAGGAAUACCACCGGGAAACCGGUGACAAUACCGCAUAUGCUCAGCAAUGAGCAAAGCCUUCGGGCGCCACAAGAUGAGCCUGCGGCCGAUUAGCUAGUUGGUGGGGUAAAAGCUCACCAAGGCGACGAUCGGUAACUGGUCUGAGAGGACGGUCAGUCACACUGGGAUUGAGAACGGCCCAGACUCCUACGGGGGGCAGCAGUGAGGAAUUUUGCGCAAUGGGGGAAACCCUGACGCAGCAACGCCGCGUGGAGGAUGAAGUCCCUUGGGACGUAAACUCCUUUCGAUCGGGACGAUUAUGACGGUACCGGAAGAAGAAGCCCCGGCUAACUUCGUGCCAGCAGCCGCGGUAAUCAAUCGC